UAAGCUAUUAGGUAUCAAACUGGCAGCUGUGGAGAGGAUUUGUGCUUGCAAGGAGAACCACUGUUUCCACCAGGCUAGCUCAAGGAGGCAGGACAGAGAUGGCAACUCAUUCAUUUAUGAGCAUCAGCCUCCUGCUCCAAAAUUGCAGGUUUUCCAAAGCAUGGCAUCAAACUGGAUGCAGAGAUAAAAGUGCCACAAUUGGUUACCUGUCAAGUUGCAAACAGCCAAAAAGACAUUGAAGUAACCAAGAAGAUCAUGUUAAAAAAUGAGAAUCAAAGCACUACAUAAGCAGAAAUUUUGUGAAAUCAUCCUGUGAGCAUCAUCCUCUGCAACUUGUGGUAGAGGGUUAAAGCAAGACUUUGGGGAUUUGAGAAGAAAGCAAGAGGGAUGGCUAGAUGAAUAUCCAUAACAACUUUUUAGAGGCUCUUCCACACUUGCAAGUUACAAAGAUUGUUCUCGGGACUUAGGUUCUGGUCUGAACUUUGAUUCAGUGGAAGAGGAAAAUUGCACAAAGAGUGUGUCUUGUUCAUGGGUAAGAGGAGUGGCUGGGAAUCAGAUAGAACAGCAAGAGGGUUUUAGUACAGUGACUCCAAGGAAGACAUCUGCAACAUACAAACGUUUCCAAUUGCAAAUAUGACACAAUAAACAACAAAGUUUGAAUCGAUGCGACAAAGAAUAUGAAGAAAAUUAAUUCUUUGGAUUAUUUUACAAAAGUGGUAGGGUGUAUGGAUAGCACAGACAGAGAAGAGGAAAGUUUUAUUAGUGAGAAGGUAGUCAUCAGCACCAGCACCUGAUGGGAGCGGUCAUGUGAACAGUGAAAGGAAGGAGGGAAUACCAACUUGGUAAUUAUAACUUACAACCAACUGGUCUCAAAAGCAUAUGGAUUGAUGUACUAACUAAGACCUGGGUGCUGACAGGUGUGUGUCAAAAACUACCAAAUUAAACCCAAGAAUGGGAUGCUUUAUCUCUUAAACAUUUGUCUGCAAUAUCUAAGCAUAAAAAUAGUAUCAUGUGGGCAAAAUCAGUUCAGCAAGUGUGCAACUUUAUCUCAUGCAGCUAGCAAUAAACCACCACUGACAGUUUCUAAAAAUUGUGAAUAAUCCACAUCUUGAGAGGCAUGAUAUCCAGCAUGGAAAAAAAAUGUAUUUUUUGAAUCUUGUUAUGAUGUAUUAAUUUUUAGGCUGGAAAGUGGUGGGCGGCUGAAGGCCGGAAAUACAUUGCAUAUGAGAAAUAUCUGCCUGGAGGGCAAGUUUCUGAUUCCAGAACAGCCCUCAGAGUGACAUGAAGGCAAAAAUUUGAAGUAAAAAAUCACCAUACAACAUGCAGAGAGAACUGUAUUGCACAGCAAUUAGCCUACAUUACAUGUUACAAAACACAGGAAGUUGACAAGGGAAUCUACAGACAACAGGAAAAAUACAGGAGUAAUAUGCAGUAAAAAGGGUAAAAAGUGGUGAAAAUUCUAAAGUAUAGCAAAACCAAAAUAAAUCCUCUCAACAGUGUGGAUCUAAUAUUAGCUGGAAGUACAAAAUCAGUGUUUUAAUAUUCAGUUUAAAAUCAGGGUGAUGUAAUUUUAACAAAAGACGGGAAUAAAGCACUUUUUAAAAGAUUAUUAACUAAAGAAGAUAUUAAACAAUGCCUACUGGGUUAGAAAAAUAAUCAGUGAGUUUGGAAAUUCUUUAAAAAGUAAAAGAAAAUAACUGAAACUGACAAAAUAUGAAUUUAGUAACUUGCAUUCCUCUCCCAAAUGUGUCAAUCAACACAGUUUUUAUGAAAAAAUAUGUCUUGGCCUUGCACGUCUGAUUUAUUUUAAUGAGAUUAUGGAGUUAGGUUAUACAUGUCUCAGUUCUGUACAUUUCUCAAUUCUGUAAGGAAUUUAUCCCUAGACAUUCUAAUCUUAACA